UUUGGCGGCCAUAGCACCAGUGUUACACCCGGUCCCAUUCCGAACCCGGAAGUUAAGCCUGGUCACGUAAUAUGCUGUACUAAGGUACGCGAGUCCCUGGGAACCAUAAUACGCUGCCAACC
rfam:Tncultured methanogenic archaeon RC-I complete genome